UACGAAGGUGGCAAGCGUUGUUCGGAUUCAUUGGGCGUAAAGGGUGCGUAGGCGGCGCGGUAAGUCGGGUGUGAAAUCUCGGAGCUUAACUCCGAAACUGCAUUCGAUACUGCCGUGCUUGAGGACUGGAGAGGAGACUGGAAUUUACGGUGUAGCGGUGAAAUGCGUAGAUAUCGUAAGGAAGACCAGUGGCGAAGGCGGGUCUCUGGACAGUUCCUGACGCUGAGGCACGAAGGUCAGGGGAGCAAACGGG
rnacentral:rRNA from 1 species